UCUAAGUUUGAUGGCGACCGGCGCACGGGUGAGUAACACGUAUCCAACCUGCCCUUUACUCGGGGAUAGCCUUUCGAAAGAAAGAUUAAUACCCGAUAGCAUAAUGAUUCCGCAUGGUUUCAUUAUUAAAGGAUUCCGGUAAAGGAUGGGGAUGCGUUCCAUUAGGUUGUUGGUGAGGUAACGGCUCACCAAGCCUUCGAUGGAUAGGGGUUCUGAGAGGAAGGUCCCCCACAUUGGAACUGAGACACGGUCCAAACUCCUACGGGAGGCAGCAUG
rnacentral:rRNA from 1 species